GAUGUACAAUCUCAUCACAGGUUCCUAAACAACAGGCCCAGACUGACCAUAGGGUAAAACUUCCCAAACUAUGAACCCAAGCAAACUUUCCGUCUUUUAGCAUUGAUGGCUUUGCAUAUGUGUUACAGUAAUGGAAAGCUGCAUAACACAGUAGUCUUACUUUCUCAUCGGUAAAUGUGACAAUCAUAAAAGAUUGGGCCAACUGUCUGAAAUAAGCCAUGCAUGGUACUUAGAUAAGGCUGUUGGCCCAACAAUAACUCAGUGAGGGUUAGCAAUCACUCUUAUCUGCAGCCACUGGCUCAGGGAGCUUCCUUGACUGAUCUAAGAUUACACACAGAAAGUGCAGACUAGGUUUUUAAGCCAUCAUUUAGUUGGAUUAACAGGCUACAUGCUACCUAAAGCCCCCUUUGACAGUAAAGCAGAUUCCUGUUGCCUCCAAGGACUGAAGCUUCCUUUUCAGAGUAAUUUCUCCAGGAAAUACUUGAACAGAAAUACAAAGGGGUGAGAAUUGAGAGCCCCAGGACAGUGGCAUCAUUUAGGGUUUGAACUCAGACCUAGUCUCCCUUUGUCAAUGUGUCUGGUCCUGGUAGUAGUGGUCAGACCUGAGGACCUCAUGCUUGAAGUUUAUCUAUGUCUUGGGUAUUUGGAUACCUGAUAACUCUAGCAGGAAAUACUAAAAAAAAAAAAGAAAAAAAAAAAAAAAGGAUGCACUGACCCACACUACUGAUUGCUACUCACUUGGGUCCAGCAGUUUCGCUGCCUUUAUGGCUGGCCCCAACAGUGACUGCCAAUCUUGCUAAGUUCUCAUAGCUGGUUACUACCAUGCCAGCCUCUUGCAUGCACAUUCUGUGGCUAGUUGAGGUGUCCGUACCUUUCUCUUGAACUCAGUUGAAGUCACUGAGCGAAGGAAAACACCACAUAAUCUUAGUUCAAAAUCAACA
rnacentral:lncRNA from 1 species